UACGGGGGGGGCAAGCGUUGUUCGUAAUUACUGGGCGUAAAGGUCUCGUAGGCGGCCAACUAAGUCGGAUGUGAAAUCCCCAGGCUUAACCUGGGAACUGCAUCCGAUACUGGAUGGCUUGAAUCCGGGAGAGGGAUGCAGAAUUCCAGGUGUAGCGGUGAAAUGCGUAGAUAUCUGGAGGAAUACCGGUGGCGAAGGCGGCAUCCUGGACCGGCAUUGACGCUGAUGAGCGAAAGCUAGGGGAGCAAACGGG
rnacentral:rRNA from 1 species